ACUGAGGGUGCGAGCGUUAAUCGGAUUUACUGGGCGUAAAGCGUGCGUAGGCGGCCAAUUAAGUCAAACGUGAAAUCCCCGAGCUUAACUUGGGAAUUGCAUUCGAUACUGGUUGGCUAGAGUAUGGGAGAGGAUGGUAGAAUUCCAGGUGUAGCGGUGAAAUGCGUAGAGAUCUGGAGGAAUACCGAUGGCGAAGGCAGCCAUCUGGCCUAAUACUGACGCUGAGGUACGAAAGCAUGGGGAGCAAACAG
rnacentral:rRNA from 1 species